GACCGCGUAGCUCAGUUGGAAGAGCAUUGGGCUAGUAUUCCAAAGGUCGUAGGUUCGAAUCCGACAGUGGCCG
rnacentral:tRNA from 1 species